rnacentral:tRNA from 1 species
GCCGGUGUAGCUCAACGUUAGAGCGACUGAAUCGUAAUCAGUAGAUGGAGUGUUCGAUGUAGAUGGAGUGUUCGAUUCCUCCCGCCGGCUCAA